UACAGAGGGGACAAGCGUUGUUCGGAAUUACUGGGCGUAAAGGGCGCGUAGGCGGCCUUCUAAGUCGAACGUGAAAUCCCCGGGCUCAACCCGGGAACUGCGUCCGAGACUGAAAGGCUAGAAUCCGGGAGAGGGAUGUGGAAUUCCAGGUGUAGCGGUGAAAUGCGUAGAUAUCUGGAGGAACAUCGGUGGCGAAGGCGGCAUCCUGGACCGGUAUUGACGCUGAGGCGCGAAAGCCAGGGGAGCAAACGGG
rnacentral:rRNA from 1 species